rnacentral:rRNA from 1 species
CUACGUGCCAGCAGCCGCGGUAAUACGGAAGGUCCAGGCGUUAUCCGGAUUUAUUGGGUUUAAAGGGAGCGUAGGCGGAUUAUUAAGUCAGUGGUGAAAGACGGUGGCUCAACCAUCGUUAGCCAUUGAAACUGGUAGUCUUGAGUGCAGACAGGGAUGCUGGAACUCGUGGUGUAGCGGUGAAAUGCUUAGAUAUCACGAUGAACUCCGAUCGCGAAGGCAGGUGUCCGGGCUGCAACUGACGCUGAGGCUCGAAAGUGUGGGUAUCAAACAGGAUUAGAUACCCUGGUAGUCCACACAGUAAACGAUGUAUACUCGCGGUUUGCGAUACAAUGUAAGCCGCCAAGCGAAAGCAUUAAGUAUACCACCUGGGGAGUACGCCGGCAACGGUGAAACUCAAAGGAAUUGACGGGGGCCCGCACAAGCGGAGGAGCAUGUGGUUUAAUUCGAUGAUACGCGAGGAACCUUACCCGGGCUUGAAC